UUCCAUCCUUUUUUUUUUUUUUUUUUUUUUGCUUCACUAAUUAGUAAUUUGUCUUUUAUUAUUUUUAUUUUUCGCAAUUUUUUUUUUUGAAGGAAAUUUUUUCGCACUUAUACUAAGAAGCUAUCUUUGCUAUAUAUGUAAUUGAUUGGAUCUUUUUAAAACCAAAUAUAGGGUGCAUUCAAAUAUCACAUAAUUUUCCUAAAAAAAGAUAUCACAUAGUUUUCCUUUAAAAAUAAUAGUUACAUACUUAAAUUAUGAAGAUUACGGGGGUGGUAUUCACUGGUAUAAGGGUAUCUAAGAGCAUUAUCAAUGGUGAACAAUGGUGAACAAAAAGUUCACCAAAUUUACCUCGAAACUCGAUCGUGUUUUGUUCAUGAUCACUCCAUUCUACUCAUGAACAAAUAAAUCAUCAUACCUCAUUUCAUUUCUAAAAAAGAAUUUUGAAAUAUGUUAAUAUUAAUAUAGGUAUCAUUUUAUGAGGGAAAUAAAUUAUAAAUUUUGGUAUAAUUUUUUUUUAUAAAGGAAUUUUCCGAAAAAUUUUCCAGAAAUUUCCCAAAGUUACUAAGGACAUGUGACAACUUGUCAUUCGCUUGUUUUGUAUAGUUUAGGAGGAACAAUUUGUUUACAUGGUGAACAAUGAACAAUUUGUUCAAGUCAUAAAUAAAUUAUUAUCACCAAUGAAAGAGGUGUUUUUUUUAUUCACUUAAAAAAAUUACAAUUUCAUGAACAAUUGUGUCAUCAUUGGCAUUGCUCUAAGUAAAAAAAGUUUGUAGGACAGUCAAAUUACUAUGAGCUUAUUAUAUAAAUUGUUUUUUAUAUGAUGUGGUAAGUUUUUGCAUGAUUUGGUAAGCUUUUUUUUAUAGGUUGAUUGGUGUAAUAUAGUAAAUCUUUUUAUAAAGUUAGUUUUUUGUAAUAUAAUUGUUUUUAAUGUGAUAUGGUCAGUUUUGAAUGAUAAUAAAGUAUUAUGAACUUGGUGAGACUUGCUGGCUACAUCAUGUACUACCAUAAAGUAUAUGUCAAUGUUUUCGAUGGCUCUCAAACACCAAAAUUAAAAAUAUUUGCAUUUAUUUUUAAAGUCUUAUAGGUGGUAAAAACUAAAAUCGAAUUUGAUUUAGGUUAAUACAUGUGGUAGCUUUCAAUCACCUAAAUAAAAAUAUAUGUAUAUAUACUACGUAAAAUCAUAUGGGGUGGUGCCUAGAACUUGAAUUGAAUUUUGUCAACAUCAAUGUGCUUUUCCACCUUCAAACAAACAAAAAUAAUACUUUAUUUAAUAGGUGAAGCGUUAUUUUCUUUUAUAAUUGAUGAUUAUGAAAUUGGAAGUAAGUAAACUGAAUUGAAAUUGGAUUGUUGCUGAAGGAGCCUGGAACAUAUCGUAAUUUGGUAAUGAUACGAACAAAACUGACCAACUCUUCGGUUUGCUUAGUUAGCGAGUCAAUUCACGUAUUGCUUGUUGUGGACUUAACUUGAUUCUUCCCGAAAAUUUGGUGGAGGAAUAGUCAAUGUAACAAUUUAAAGCUACGAAAAAUAAAUAAAGAAAGGAAUUUUUCUUCCCUAAUUUAGAAAAGAACGAUAAAAAAAACUUUGUCCAAAUUUGAACAUAUAUCUUGCACUAAAAAGAGAAAAAGAAAAUAAAAAGGAAAUAGAAUGAUCAUUGUAAUAAGAACAAAAUAUGCCAUUUAUUAAUGGUUUAAGGUAGGUCAAACUUAUAAUAAUUUCGCAAUUGGUAAAAUUAGUAUUCCCUUUUUUUUUUUUUAAUCAUUUUCACUUUUCUAAGCAUGUCUCCCAAUACACCUGUUUGAACUUAAAUAUCUUUCAUUAUAUAUUAGUAAAAAUUAUAACGAUUGAAUAUGGGGGUGGGAGGGAAGAGUGCUGCUCUUUACUUUUGGGCUCGGGCUAAAGCUUUGAAAGAAGGUUGGUCCAAGUAUAUCGUUAACCUAAUAGGAAAAACGGGUGUAAACUUUUCUUUGCAUAGGAUCCUUAUCUUUUUCCAAAAAGAAAAAUGAAAAUUCCAUGUUUAGAUUAAUUUUCUGCAUAUCCGUACACCAUAACACAAAUCAUCAUAUGGAAUACUUGUGUGUAAAACAUUAUGGCUAAUAUUUUGGAGAUAUUUUUAUUCAUAGUUAGUUAGUUAGUUAGUGGCAAAAUCUUUAUUGACUAAUGGAAAUAUGACAACAUUGGUAAGAUCAGACUAAUACUCGAGGAUUAUUUGUACUAGAAAUUUAUCUGCACUAUGUAAAAAAACAAGAUUAGGCCCAAAUCAUACUUGUAGGAGUUUUAUUAGGAGCGGAAUUUUCCCCGACCCUCAAUGACGUGGCCUGUAAAUUUGAGGCAAGUUGAGCAUGAGAGAAAAUGCAUGUCGUUUGAGACCCUUUUACACACCACCUUCCAAGAGUUGUGCCAUGCCAUGCCAUCUAUGAGACUAUUACCAGUUAUGUUCUGGAUCUCGAAAUAAAAAACUUAAAUGAGACGUACGUUAAUGCUUUAUAUUAAAACUUAGAAGUAUUAACAAUAAAAUUAGUUGACUUAAGCAACACUUGUUUGUUUCCGGCCAGUACACUUGAAAGAAUAAUUUGGAUCCAUGAGGCAUGAUUCAUGACAGCUUAAUAAGCUUAGAAGUUGGAUCGAAGAAAUCAUCAUAACAUGAACCUAAUUAAACUAUUACAGAAUUAGAAACUCGGACCAUCUAUGAGUAUGAAGUGGCUGACUGGCUGGAACUAUUUAAUUAAUCUUUUUCAUUCUCUUUUGGUGGGCUGAAUGUUAGAAGGUCAAAUAUAUAUUCUUUUUCUUUAUUCUAUUUUUGUAUUGACGAAUGUCAGUUUCAACUAUCGGGAGACCAUGUGAAAACCAAUUAACGUUGACCUGAUACCGGAAGCUGCGGUCUCUUAAAUCUGAAUCAAUUCAUAUUCUCAAGUUUUUAUUGACAUGUAACAUGCCUCAGUUGGACGAAUCUUUUGCUGUGAUUUUAUUGGGGAUGUCUACCCUGGUAUCCCUCCGCCCAGCUUGCCCAAAAAUAGAAUACUUCCUCCGUUCUGUUUUAAAUGAAACAUUGGAUGAAAUGACACUAUUCAUUGAUCAAUUUUGACUCCAAUUUAUCGCUAUUAUAUAAAGAAAAACAUAGUCAAGUGGGAUCUUGUUAGAUUCGUCUCGAUGCAUACUAUCAAAUUAUAACUUUUUUAUAUUUUUUACGCGUACACAACUAUAGAUAUUAAUGACUAAAGAAGCGCGUUGGGUUGCGUGAAAAAGCAAACGUUUCAUUUAUAACGGAACGGAGGAAGUAUAAUAUUGUUAGAAUUAUAUUGGUUUUAUAAAAUGAUAUAUAGCUACUGUUACAUUGAUAUUAUAUAAGUCAAUGAUAUUUAAUAUUCUUAUAGAUAUGAUAGGAUUAAAGAAAAAAGAGUACACAUAACUUUAGUUUUUAUCUUUUGGAAGACACAUUACUUUAGUUAUUGACGCAAGUAUACAACGAUAAUGUCAAAACUCAAAACUUUAAACCUAGUAGGAUGUGGUGGGGCUGUAUGAUUUAAUAAUUUCUCUACAGUGACCAUUUAUAUUAACUCUUUUGCCUCCCUUCUUGUCAAGUGCCAUAUGACUCUUUAAACCUAAUGUUUUGAAUUUGAUAUCAUUCGUGUAUGAAAGGAUUUUGGUUUUAUCCACUUAUAUGGUCCUUUAACAUUGGUAAACGUGAACAAAUUUUUUGUAGAUUGUCUUACACAUCAACAUACUUUGUGAGGAUAGAGGUUAUUAAUAAAACACGUAAAAAGGUAUAACUUUUACGUAUCUAUUUAAUAUAGGGAUAGUCACAAAAGACAAUUAUAUAAACGGAGAUAGUAUUCAGUGUUAAUUAUCAUUCUUAAAAGAAUUUUUUGAUAAGGUUAAUUUUUUUUUGAGGCGAACCAAGUUAAAAUACUUCAUAAAUCAAACCCAUCUCAAAUUGAACUGUUACGAAAUAAUUCUACCAAAACUGAAAAAGGGACACAAUAACAUGUGGGGUGCACAACUUUGAUAAAGAAUCUGCCUUGGAUAAGAUAAAAAGAUAAGGCUGGGUUUUUGGGGACCAACGUAAAAUGCUACGACUAUGUCUACGAGGCACCGCACUAACAAAAAAAUCAAGAUGGGAUAUUUACCAUAUUUUGCCGAUGGGCAUUAGUCCAGUAUAGGUCAUGUAGAAACAUGAAAAAUUUAGGUACAGUGCUUUUUAUAUCAAAUCAAAUAGAGCGCAAUUAAAGGUGGGCACGGGCCGUGUCGGGACGGCCCACGUGCCAAGCCCGUGUGCCUCGUGCCACAACGUGCCGUGCCAAAACGAGCCAAGAAAUGCACAUGUCGUGCCGGGCUCGUGCUAAGUUGUAAAAUCUAAGGGUCAUGUACGACCCGGCCCACAUGCCGUGCCGGGCCGACUCAUGCCGUGCCAUCGUGCCUUAUACAAAUUUUAAAUAUUAUGAAAUUUUAACCAAAAUAAGAGUGCCAACUUGCGGGUCGGCCCGUCGUGCUCGUGCCGGGUUCGUGCCAAACUUUUAGAAUGUUGUUCAUACGUGGCCCACGGCCCACCACUCGUGCCGGCGUGCCGUGUCGUGCUCAUAGCGGGCUCGUGCUGGGUCGGGCUAAAAAUCAUGCCGUGCCGGCCCGGCCCGGCCCAUGCCCAGCUCUAAGCACAAUAGACUUCCACUUGUAGAAAGUUUGGUUGGGUGUAAUAUAAUUUUGACGAAAGUUCUAUUUAGAAGCAUUUUAGGUGACUUAAAUGAUAAGGCGUUACAAUUUUAAGUCACCUUAUACGAUUAGUGGUAUUUGGUGGAGAAACUUAAAUAAAAUUUAAGUCCAAAAUUUAACUAAAAUUGAGUUGGAGUAAAAUAUAGCGUCUUAGAUCAGGUGUUGAAAUUUUUUAUUUUCUUUUUAUCUUUUUAAGCCUCAAAAAAUAUUUCAGCUCCAGUCAUAAAUAAUUUUAGCAAAUAAGUUAUGCAAUGAACUAGCUUAUCAGUUUCAGCAUCUUAACAGCUUCCGCUGCUACCUAAUCAGUUCCAUCUUCUAACUAAUCAAUUUCAGCUCCAUUGCAGGCAGUAUUGCUAAACACAAUCGAAGAUUUUGCAUUUUGUUUUCUUUUAUUUCCUUCCAAAGGGUGAAAAAUAGUUAUUUUCAUAAUGGGAAACGUUUUCUUUCUAGAAAAAAAAGGAAUGGUAUACCAUAUAUGUAUAUGUCUCCCUAUGCCUUACCUACCAUUAGGACUGAGGAGCCUUGGUGGAAAAGAGACGGGAAAAAGAAUUGAAGCCAUUGGACUACUAUUCUGGGGCAAGUAUUGGAACUUGGAAGAAAGGGUAAGAGAAUUUUUAGGUAGAAAUUGGAUGAAUCCAUCUGAUAAAUGGCAUUCCGAAGUUUGGUACAACAGAAUCAUCUAAUUGUUUAGUUUUGGGACCACAAAAUAGGAGUGUUAACUUAAGUGAUGUAUCAACCUUGCGUGUGACCUGAAUAAUUAGUGAAUCUGAUUUUACUUAUUGUUUUUACGUGAUAAAGCUUGGUGUU